AGAUGCUGGCGGCUUGGUGCGAGGGGUGAUGGAGUGGUCCUUCAGUGCGAAGCACCGAUAGAGCAUCUCCCUCCGCGCCCCUAUUACAACUCAUGGCGGAAAGUGAAGAGAAGGGAGGAGAGGAUGGCCUUGAGGAGCAGCUUCCUCCUCCUCCUGAGCCACCGCAGCCCCCGGACAGGCCCAGCCUGCAGCAGCCACGGCUCAGCCUGCCUCGCCAAGAGGACAAGCAGGAGGAGGAGGAUGGAAAGGAAGAGGAGUCACAGCACACAGAGGGUCAGCUUGAGGGAGUGUUGGAUGAAGACACUGUAGCUGAGGGACUCCACAAGUUAGGGCACUCAGCCACUGGUAUCGAAUACGUCUAUCUUAAUCUGUCGCUUUCAGGUCGUGAGUUAAGUGACAUUAGCAUUCUCUCCAGAUACAUUCACCUACAGAAGCUGGAACUUUCAUCUAAUAAAAUUAAUGAUCUUUCUUGUGUCAGUCACAUGCCUUACCUACUAGAACUGAAUGCUUCUAACAAUGAAUUGACUACGUAUUUUGGUUUUAAACCACCUAAAAAUCUCAAGGAAGUCGAUUUCUCACACAAUCAAAUACCUAGAAUGAAAAACUUGUCAGCAUACCAAUCACUUACUAAACUCUUGCUGGAUUUUAAUAACAUAGAGGAGAUACAAGGACUGGGGAAGUGUCACAGUCUGACUCACCUUAGUUUGUCACACAACAGACUUGUUGCAAUCGGUGGCCUUGAGAACCUACCUAUCAAAAUACUCAACUUGAGCUCUAACCAGAUUGAGAAGAUAACCGGGCUGGACAGCUUGAAAACUCUACAGACAUUGGACCUAUCUAGCAAUAAAAUAACUAGUCUGGAAGGCUUGAAGGAACAUGAUCUACUAGAGGUGAUCAACCUAGAGGACAACCAGAUUGCUGAGCUGCAUGAACUUGAACAUAUUGAAGAUCUGCCUCUCCUCAGAGUUUUAAAUCUGUUAAAGAAUCCUGUACAGGAGCAAGCAGAUUAUUGGCUCUCGGUGAUUUUCAUGUUGCUCCAACUAACAGAACUGGAUCUCAAGAAGAUUUCAGUGAAAGAAAAGGUUGCUGCUGUGAAUAAAUAUGACCCUCCUCCAGAAGUAGUUGCUGCUGAAGACCAUAUGACUCACAUUAUGCGUGCGAUGCUGCAGCCCCAGAAGAUCUUUGACAGCACUUUACCUUGUCUUGAUGCUCCCUACCCCAUGCUGGUAUUAGCUGGCCCUGUAGCCUGUGGUAAGAGAGAGCUUACUCACAAGAUCUGCAGACAGUUCAACAAUUUCUUCAGAUAUGGUCCCUGUCACACCACCAGGGAAGCUUACUUUGGAGAAGAAAACAGACUUGAUUACUAUUUCGUUUCUCAAGAAGCAUUUGACAAAAUGGUGAACACAGGGAAGUUUAUAGCAACCUAUAAAUACAAUGGAUAUUACUACGGACUUGCAAGAGACACUGUAGAAUCAAUUGCCAGAGAGGGUCUUGCAACUUGUGUUCACUUAGAAUUAGAGGGUCUGCGUAGCUUGAAAAAUACCUACUUUAAACCCAGAUGUAUCCUGUUAGUACCACUUAGCAAAGAGAAAUAUGAGGAGCACCUGCGGAGGAAAGGAUUAUUCAGCAGACCAGAGAUUGAAGAGGCAGUCUCCAGAGUGGACAUGUACAUCAACAUGAGUGAGGAUUUUCCAGGGUACUUUGAUGCCAUUAUCUACACAGAUGAACUGGAUGAGGCAUUCACAGACCUGAGUUUCAUCGUAAGGGAAUACCUGGGUUUGAAGCCACCUGCAGUUGCUGAUAGCAUUCAGGACGUGAACAGCAGAGCAGAAGCAGCUUCCAGAAUACGGGUCUUGCAACAGCCAAGAUUGUCGCCUGGUGGUGUAACUACUGGAACUACUCAGUCUUCAUCCAUCAAUGAGUUCUUGGACUUCUCUGACAAAAGCUACCCAGGAGGCAUCUCAGACAAACAUGCUGCACAACUGAGCUCCGUGGAAGAAGCUUCUUUCCAAAGACGUUUCUGUGCAGCACGUCAGGCUCUGUCAGGGAAGGCACCUAAUGCAUAUGUCCAGCUCUUUCAAAGGGACCUGGCAGUCACUCCUGUACCAGGCAGCUUCCAUCAGCAAUUCCUGGAACCAACAAUAUAUGCUUCUCUGCUCUCAGAUGGAAGGAAUGUGACCCAAGACCAGAGCUUCCCCCUGAGUAACCCGGAGAGCCGAAAGAGUAAACUAAAAAAAGCCAUCAAGGGCUGCAAAGAAUGUGGUCCUGCCAGUGGACGAUUUCUGGUCUUAUCUGGUGAAUCUGCUGCGGAAGGUCUCCUGGUUCAGAGCCCUGUUCCCCAUGCUCACCCCACUGAAGAAGCCAAAACUGAGCAUCAAGAUCCAAGAGGAGCUGAAGAUGGAGUGGACAGAUUGAAAGAGACUGAAUUCUCUGGUGACAAUCUUCAGAGAAAACACAGCAAGUCCAAGCCUGGUUCUCACGUGCCUCAGCUCAGCAACUGGCCCGGCUCCCACUCCAAACCUGUCCUACCUCCAAUCCCAUCAGGGCGGAAGAAGACCAACCCUUGAUGGCCACUACCAGCCAAGCCUUUGUCAUGACUACACCGAAACUUUCUGCCUAACAGGAACAGUGAUUUUUAUAUAUCUAUUUCUUUUCCACAAAGCAAAGUCUAUCAAAUAUUACUUUUAAAUCCAUUUCUAAUUAACUCUCCCCCCAAAAAGUUAUUUAUUUAUAACUUGAUUAAAAAGUAAUUUCUAUAUUUCCCAAUGCUAAAAAUUAUUUCCCCAGGCACUCUCAGCUGGGAAACGGUGUAGAUUUUAUUCCUAACAGCCACAUGACCACAUCUUCCAUUAACUUCUCUCUUUUCUCCCCCUCCUAUAUUAUAGAUUUAAUUGAGGUGCGGGAGCAUCAAGGUCUCUGAUAAUAUUGUCUAUAGUGUAGAAGUGGUGAAUUACUUUGAAGAGGGACUUUGUGAAGUGUUCAGAGAGUGAAAACUAGUUCCAAAACUAUUUGUUAUUUAAUAAAAUGUGGUUUUUUUGAAGGGACGAGUCCCAAUUCUUGGAUUUGCAAGUGUAUUUAAACAACCCAGUGAGGAGUCAUCAGGAAACCACAAUAUAAUCAUUGAGAGCUAGCUGAAGCUGAGAGUAAUGUGUGAACAUUUGUUUUCCUAGCAGAUAGUGAAGCCCCUUUGCCCAAGCAGCUUCCCAUGAGGAGGGGGCAUUUGCUAUUCCUAUUACAGCAUGGAUCUUUGCACGCAGAGAAGACAACAUGACUUGUUGCCGCAGUGUGGAGUAAGUCCAUGGAAGAGCUCUGGUUUACCUCACCCUGCAUGUUCACAGUGUGGCCAGGUGGUUUUGGUGUUUAAAUAGGAUGAACCGAACGAAGCAACACAGCUCAUGAACAAAAAGCAAGGCUGCUCCAUAGCCUGGGUUCAGAAGCUGCAGUUUCAACCUUAGCGGGUGUUUGGCCAAUGCAGUUCAGCAAAGCACACCACAGCUCAAGUUGCAAGCCCGAUUUACAAGGAUUUACCCCAAACCAACUGCAUUCUGCUGAGCUGCCCUUUGUCUACUGCACCCUGAAGCAUGGAACAUCUGGUUGAGUCUGAAGGCAGAAGUGCUGCUGGGUUGCUG